UACGGGCGAGUGAGCGGCAAAGCUCAAUUUGAAUCUGGCACCUUCGGUGUCCGAGUUGUAAUUUGAAGAAGGUAACUUUGGAGUUGGCUCUUGUCUAUGUUCCUUGGAACAGGACGUCACAGAGGGUGAGAAUCCCGUGCGAUGAGAUGCCCAAUUCUAUGUAAAGUGCUUUCGAAGAGUCGAGUUGUUUGGGAAUGCAGCUCUAAGUGGGUGGUAAAUUCCAUCUAAAGCUAAAUAUUGGCGAGAGACCGAUAGCGAACAAGUACAGUGAUGGAAAGAUGAAAAGAACUUUGAAAAGAGAGUGAAAAAGUACGUGAAAUUGUUGAAAGGGAAGGGCUUGAGAUCAGACUUGGUAUUUUGCGAUCCUUUCCUUCUUGGUUGGGUUCCUCGCAGCUUACUGGGCCAGCAUCGGUUUGGAUGGUAGGAUAAUGACUAAGGAAUGUGGCUCUACUUCGGUGGAGUGUUAUAGCCUUGGUUGAUACUGCCUGUCUAGACCGAGGACUGCGUCUUUUGACUAGGAUGUUGGCAUAAUGAUCUUAAGCCACCCGUCUUGAACC
rnacentral:rRNA from 1 species